rnacentral:rRNA from 2 species
GGGUUGUGAGGUUAAGCGACUAAGCGUACACGGUGGAUGCCCUGGCAGUCAGAGGCGAUGAAGGACGUGCUAAUCUGCGAUAAGCGCCGGUAAGGUGAUAUGAACCGUUAUAACCGGCGAUUUCCGAAUGGGGAAACCCAGUGUGACUCGUCACACUAUCAUUAACUGAAUCCAUAGGUUAAUGAGGCGAACCGGGGGAACUGAAACAUCUAAGUACCCCGAGGAAAAGAAAUCAACCGAGAUUCCCCCAGUAGCGGCGAGCGAACGGGGAGGAGCCCAGAGCCUGAAUCAGCAUGUGUGUUAGUGGAAGCGUCUGGAAAGGCGCGCGAUACAGGGUGACAGCCCCGUACACAAAAGCGCAUGUGUUGUGAGCUCGAUGAGUAGGGCGGGACACGUGGUAUCCUGUCUGAAUAUGGGGGGACCAUCCUCCAAGGCUAAAUACUCCUGACUGACCGAUAGUGAACCAGUACCGUGAGGGAAAGGCGAAAAGAACCCCGGCGAGGGGAGUGAAAAAGAACCUGAAACCGUGUACGUACAAGCAGUGGGAGCACCCUUUGGGGUGUGACUGCGUACCUUUUGUAUAAUGGGUCAGCGACUUAUAUUCUGUAGCAAGGUUAACCGAAUAGGGGAGCCGGAGGGAAACCGAGUCUUAAUUGGGCGUUAAGUUGCAGGGUAUAGACCCGAAACCCGGUGAUCUAGCCAUGGGCAGGUUGAAGGUUGGGUAACACUAACUGGAGGACCGAACCGACUAAUGUUGAAAAAUUAGCGGAUGACCUGUGGCUGGGGGUGAAAGGCCAAUCAAACCGGGAGAUAGCUGGUUCUCCCCGAAAGCUAUUUAGGUAGCGCCUCGUGAAUUCAUCUCCGGGGGUAGAGCACUGUUUCGGCUAGGGGGCCAUCCCGGCUUACCAACCCGAUGCAAACUGCGAAUACCGGAGAAUGUUAUCACGGGAGACACACGGCGGGUGCUAACGUCCGUCGUGAAGAGGGAAACAACCCAGACCGCCAGCUAAGGUCCCAAAGUCAUGGUUAAGUGGGAAACGAUGUGGGAAGGCCCAGACAGCCAGGAUGUUGGCUUAGAAGCAGCCAUCAUUUAAAGAAAGCGUAAUAGCUCACUGGUCGAGUCGGCCUGCGCGGAAGAUGUAACGGGGCUAAACCAUGCACCGAAGCUGCGGCAGCGACACUAUGUGUUGUUGGGUAGGGGAGCGUUCUGUAAGCCUGUGAAGGUGUGUCGUGAGGCAUGCUGGAGGUAUCAGAAGUGCGAAUGCUGACAUAAGUAACGAUAAAGCGGGUGAAAAGCCCGCUCGCCGGAAGACCAAGGGUUCCUGUCCAACGUUAAUCGGGGCAGGGUGAGUCGACCCCUAAGGCGAGGCCGAAAGGCGUAGUCGAUGGGAAACGGGUUAAUAUUCCCGUACUUGGUGUUACUGCGAAGGGGGGACGGAGAAGGCUAUGUUGGCCGGGCGACGGUUGUCCCGGUUUAAGCGUGUAGGUGUGUGUUCCAGGUAAAUCCGGUUCACUUUAACACUGAGGCGUGACGACGAGGCACUACGGUGCUGAAGCAACAAAUGCCCUGCUUCCAGGAAAAGCCUCUAAGCAUCAGGUAACAUCAAAUCGUACCCCAAACCGACACAGGUGGUCAGGUAGAGAAUACCAAGGCGCUUGAGAGAACUCGGGUGAAGGAACUAGGCAAAAUGGUGCCGUAACUUCGGGAGAAGGCACGCUGACACGUAGGUGAAGUGAUUUACUCAUGGAGCUGAAGUCAGUCGAAGAUACCAGCUGGCUGCAACUGUUUAUUAAAAACACAGCACUGUGCAAACACGAAAGUGGACGUAUACGGUGUGACGCCUGCCCGGUGCCGGAAGGUUAAUUGAUGGGGUCAGCGCAAGCGAAGCUCCUGAUCGAAGCCCCGGUAAACGGCGGCCGUAACUAUAACGGUCCUAAGGUAGCGAAAUUCCUUGUCGGGUAAGUUCCGACCUGCACGAAUGGCGUAAUGAUGGCCAGGCUGUCUCCACCCGAGACUCAGUGAAAUUGAACUCGCUGUGAAGAUGCAGUGUACCCGCGGCAAGACGGAAAGACCCCGUGAACCUUUACUAUAGCUUGACACUGAACAUUGAGCCUUGAUGUGUAGGAUAGGUGGGAGGCUUUGAAGUGUGGACGCCAGUCUGCGUGGAGCCGACCUUGAAAUACCACCCUUUAAUGUUUGAUGUUCUAACGUGGACCCGUGAUCCGGGUUGCGGACAGUGUCUGGUGGGUAGUUUGACUGGGGCGGUCUCCUCCUAAAGAGUAACGGAGGAGCACGAAGGUUGGCUAAUCCUGGUCGGACAUCAGGAGGUUAGUGCAAUGGCAUAAGCCAGCUUGACUGCGAGCGUGACGGCGCGAGCAGGUGCGAAAGCAGGUCAUAGUGAUCCGGUGGUUCUGAAUGGAAGGGCCAUCGCUCAACGGAUAAAAGGUACUCCGGGGAUAACAGGCUGAUACCGCCCAAGAGUUCAUAUCGACGGCGGUGUUUGGCACCUCGAUGUCGGCUCAUCACAUCCUGGGGCUGAAGUAGGUCCCAAGGGUAUGGCUGUUCGCCAUUUAAAGUGGUACGCGAGCUGGGUUUAGAACGUCGUGAGACAGUUCGGUCCCUAUCUGCCGUGGGCGCUGGAGAACUGAGGGGGGCUGCUCCUAGUACGAGAGGACCGGAGUGGACGCAUCACUGGUGUUCGGGUUGUCAUGCCAAUGGCACUGCCCGGUAGCUAAAUGCGGAAGAGAUAAGUGCUGAAAGCAUCUAAGCACGAAACUUGCCCCGAGAUGAGUUCUCCCUGAGACUUAAAGUCUCCUGAAGGAACGUUGAAGACGACGACGUUGAUAGGCCGGGUGUGUAAGCGCAGCGAUGCGUUGAGCUAACCGGUACUAAUGAACCGUGAGGCUUAACCUUACAACGCCGAAG